rnacentral:lncRNA from 1 species
AUCAUUGAGCCUGGGAAGGAAGUAGAAAUGGAAAUGGAUGAAGAGGAGGUGCAGCUUGUUGAGGAGGGCAUGAGGGCAGCUAGUCUUGAAGAGAACGGGGACCUGAAGAAUAAUGAAGCUAAGGUUACAAUAGAUGAAGCAGAACCACCUAUGAGGAUAGUAAAGAAUUGGAAGAGACCUGAGGAGAGGUUACCUGCUGAAAGAGAUCCAACUAAAUUUGUUGUGUCUCCAAUAACUGGUGAGCUGAUUCCUGACAAUGAGAUGUCUGAACAUAUCAGGAUCUCUUUAAUUGAUCCAAAGUACAAGGAGUAGAAGGAGAGGAUGUUUGCAAAAAUUAGGGAUACAACUCUUGCUCCUGAUGAUGAGAUCACAAAAAAUAUUGUUGGACUUGCUCGAACCCGUCCUGAUAUUUUUGGUACUACUGAGGAGGAAGUCUCUAAUGCUGUUAAGGUAGAGAUCGAGAAGAAAAAAGAUGAUCAACCAAAGCAAGUCAUUUGGGAUGGGCAUACAGGAAGUAUUGGUCGUACAGCAAGUCAGGCCAUGUCUCAGAAUGCUGGUGGAGAAGAUCUAAAUGAAGCAGCCAACAGUGAUAUGAGAAAUCUUCCAGGUCCUGCAGCUCCUCCUCCUCCCAGACCUGGCAUGCCAUCAAUUAGACCUCUUCCUCCACCUCCUGGACUUGCCUUGAAUAUCCCUAGGCCUCCUAAUACUGUUCAGUAUUCAACCCCAACUGGUCCCGGUGUUUUGGCUCCACCUCCACCUGGGCCUCCAGUCGUCGGUGUUCUGCCCAGACCUGCGCCUCAUCCGAUGUCAAUGAUGCCGGGCCAGCAACCUCUGAUGGUAAAUCGACCCCAAAUGCAUCCGUCCAUGUCCAUGAAUUCCCCCAACAUGCCUGUGCCACCGCCACCUGGAUCUCAAUUUACACCUUUGUCUGCUCCCCGGCCUUUUGUUCCCCUUUCCAUAUCUCAGCCUGGCCUGCCUAUGGUCCCACCGCCAUCCAUGCCUCAGGGAAUGCCACCACCUCCACCUGAGGAAGCUCCUCCACCACUUCCUGAAGAACCAGAACCAAAAAGACAGAAACUUGAUGAUGCUCUGCUUGUUCCCGAGGAUCAAUUUUUAGCUCAACAUUCGGUAUGAUGCACUUUUGCAUUCAUUUAUAUUUGUGAUUUUUUUAAAAAAAAAUUUUCCUUUUGUGAAAAAAGAGAAGGUUUUACGUCAUUGGGUUGUAACUAAGCUUGCAUUUGUGUUCACUGCAGGGACCUGCUCGUAUCAACGUGUCUGUGCCUAAUCAUGAUGAAGGCAAUAUGAAAGGGCAGGUGCUGGAGAUUCUUGUGCAGUCGCUGUCUGAAACUGUCAGCAGCUUGAAAGAGAAAAUAGCUGGUGAGAUUCAACUUCCGGCUAACAAACAGUAACUGAGUGGAAGGCCUGGUUUUCUCAAGGACAAUUUGUCGCUCGCAUAUUAUAACGUUGCACCCGGAGAAACACUUCAACUCUCUCUCAGAGAGCGUGGAGGAAGAAAGAGAUGAGAAGCUUAACAUUGACCAAAGCCUUGAAACACUUUAUUUUCCUAUUUGGAUCUGUUACUUCUCCUAAGAAGUAUUGUCCUUAUCAGUCUCACCAAAAUUAUUUUUUGUGAUUGUUUUAGAACAAAAUGGCAUUUUCAAAGGUAAAUGAUUAUUCAUUUGACAGUUUGGCUCUUGAGAUUAAAAGAUGAUAGGUCUGGUCUUAAAAUUAAUUUAUUUACAAUCAUGCAAAACUCUCGUUUUCUUCAGACUUCAGUAGAAUGGAUUGGACCAUUGGAGUUUCGGCGUAUCACUUUUUGGGCUCUAAAGAGGGCCAAAGGCCCCCGUGUUUGAGUUAUGUGAAACUCUUGUAUUCAUUCAUCAUGUUUUAGAUAUUAUUGUAAAUUUUUAGGCUUUAGCCUUGUAAUUUGCACAGUAUUGAAAUUAAAAAAAAAUUAGGGUUUUAGCUUAGUGGUUUCUACAGUAGUAUAAACAGAUUAGGAGUAGUUUGCACUUUUGUAGUUUGCACAGAAUUAUUAGCUUUUAGUUUAGUAGUUAGCUAAGAAGAGAAAAGAAGAUGAGCUUUUAAUAUUGUUCGGGAAUUUAAAAAAGAAGUGAAAGGAUUUUGGAUACAAGGGAUGAGUAAAUCCUAUACAACCACUCUUUUUGAAGACAAACUAGACCUUUUAAUUUUGAGAACUUUUAUAACCAGACAGCAAGUUUCCUCUCACUCAAUUAUCCAACUUGGAAGGAAAGAAUUUUUAUGGUUUAUCUCAAAAAUUUUUGGGGAAUUUACGAAAGAAUGUUGUUGAAGUAGGGGAACUUUCCAUUGAUUGAGAAUAAUGCAAGAUCAAUUGUUUUUUUUCAAGAUUCAACUUUCGUCAAGGAAGAUCAAUUUGGGAUGGACAGUGAGCUUAAAUAAGAUGAGCCCAUAAAUUAUUUUGCUUUUAGAGAAACUGAAAUAUAUGAACCUGGCAAAAAAGAGUCCCUAAUGUACUAAAGAUUGACCAAACUCUUCACAGAUAAUCCCACUAAUUAUCCUUUGGAAUAAUUUUAGGAACCUCCCUUGAGGUUUCUAACUACUUCACUGCCCCCUUUUAGAUUUCAAAAAUUAUACUAACCUUUUUUUAAAUUUAUUAUCUUAUAACAUUUAGGUUCAACCAGCAAUUAAAAGGUGAUAUCAGGAGAGAGAAUAUAACAUGAUUCCACCAUUGCCUAGAUUAUUUAGUUAAUCUAAUAUCAUCUCACACAUUAAAGAAAAGCACUAGAAUCUGUUGUUUAUCAUCUGGGAUCAAAUCACAUAUAGUAUCAAAAAAUAAUAUAUCAUUGUAUAUAUUUCACUUAAUUUAAAAUUCAAAUUACUUUUUCAGUUAUAGACCAAUUGUUAUACAUGAUCAACAACAAAUAAUCAAAAAAAAAAAAUUACAACCAAAAAUUACAAAGAGCGAACUUUAAUACCAUAAAAAUCUCGACAACUAACCUUAAUAUGUUGAUAAAGAUAUUUAUGAUAUUAAGGUUUGCUCUUUGUAAUGUUUCAUUUGCAAUUUUUUUUAUUAUUUGUUAUCGAUUAUGUUUGACAAUAGGUAUGUAACUGAAAAGAAUAAUUAGGAUCUUGCAUUAUUUUUUUUAUUUUUUGCUAAACAACUCAUAAUAUGUAAAAAAAAUUUAAGUAAGCUAAAAAUAACAAAAUCAUCAUUUUAUCAUACAAAUUAUGUUAUUUAUAUUUUCAAAUUUUAAUGUAUAUGCAUAUAUUAUUGAUAUGUAGUCAUAACAGAUAUACCAAAUAUAAUCUUAUAACCAUCAUAUUUAUUUUAAAUUUUUUAAUAAAUAACUUACAAUAUGUAAAAAAUUCAAAUGAACUAUAAAUAACCAAGUCAUCAUUUUAUCAUACAAAUUAUGAUAUUUUUAGUUCUUAAAUUAUAAGAUAUAUGCAUAUAUUAUUAAUGUGCAGUUAUAUAUAUAUGCAUACAUAUAUAUAUAUAUGUAUGUAUGUAUAUAUAUUUUAUACGAGAAUAUCCUUCCCCGUCCCUUGCCCUAUUUAAAAUUGGGGAAGAAAAAUCCCCCCUCUUCCACCCCGCCUCGCCCUGCCCCGUUGCUCUCCCCGAGGCAAAUGUUUGCCAUGCCUAACUUUUUUUUUUGUCUAAACGAUAGGAUUGUAAUGAUUGGACAAAAGUAUAUACAGGUGAGCACAUGCUCGAUGCUUUACAAUGUGCAUUUAGCACAAUAGAUUAGGAUUAACCCACUCUACAUCAUGAUAAUUGCUUAAAACUUGAGCACUAAAUAAACAGCUAAGAUAAUUCCUAUUAGUUUUUCCUAGACAAAAUGAGCAUUUGUAAAACAUAGUACUCAAUUCACUGAUGUCAUUUAUCAGGGCAGCUAGCCAUAUAUCGACUGUUUUACCCCCUUGAAUUUGUUGUAGUAGGUCUUUAUUUGGAACUCCAAUGCAUACAAACCUCCAUCUUUGCUCUGCUGCUUUGAUUAGUGCCAGUUUGACACCUUUAGCACAAUAUUGAAAUUGACUCUCACUUGCUAUUUCUCUCAUCUUCUAUCCCAUCACAUCCUACCCCUUACUAUCCAGCAACGGAGCUAGGAUUUUUUCCUUAGAGGGGCCAAAAUUUUUUCGAACAAAAUUACCUUAAUAUGUUAUGUUCAAAAUAAUUUUCAUUUAUUUAAUUAUAUGACAUCUUAAAAUAUCAAAUAUUAACUUUAAUUAUAAAGAUAUGUCUAUUUCAUAAAUAUAUAACAUAAUCAUAACUAAAAUUAAGAUAAGAAAUAACCUUUGAUUAAAUAUCUUAUAACAUCACAAACCACCUAAGUUGCACAUUAUGAGAAGAUGUUCCAAUAUGUCACUUGUGCAGAAACAAAAAUAUAACUAUGCAAUAUAAAUAUAACUAUUUUCAAUUAAAAAAAGAUAAAAUUUAUGUUAACAUACCUUGAAAUUUCAUCCUCUUUUAUUAAAAGUAAAUUGAGCUUUACGUUCUUUCAUAGAACUAAAUUCAUCUAUAAUUGAAUCAAUACUAAAUUUUCGAACAACUUCCUUUUUUUUUUACAUUGUUAGGCAAUCAUUUAAGAAAUUAUCUUUUAUCUUGUUUUGGAGCUUUGUUUUGAUUAUCUUUAUAAUUGAAAAUGUUCAUUCUAUAGACUAUAGAACGGAGCCGAGAUUUUUCCUUGGGAGAGAGGCCAAAAUUUUUCUGAACAAAAUUAUUUUAAUAUGUUAUGUUCAAAAUAAUUUUCAUCUAUUUAAAUAUAUGAUAUCUUAAAAUAUCAAAUAUUAACUUUAAUGAUAAAGGUAUGUCUAUUUCAUAAAUAUGCAGCAUACUCAUAAUAAAAAUUAGGACAAGAAAUAACCUUUGAUUAAAUAUCUUAUAACAUCACAAACUACCCAAAUUGUACAUUAUGAGAAGAUGCUCCAAUAUGUCACUUGUGCAAAAACAAAAAUAUAACUAUGCAAUAUAAAUAUAACUAUUUUCAAUUAAUAAAAGAUAAAAGUUAUGUUAACAUAUCUUGAAAUUUCAACCUCUUUUCUUAAAAGUAAAUUGAGCUUUAUGUUCUUUCAUAGAACUAAAUUCAUCUAUAAUUGAAUCAGCGCUAAAUUUUUGAACAACUUCCUUUUUUUAUGUACAUUGUUAGACAAUCAUUCAAGAAAUUAUCUUUUAUCUUGUUUUGGAGCUUUGUUUUGAUUAUAUUCAUAAUUGAAAAUACCCGUUCUAUAGUUGCAGUUGACACAGGAAAAGUGAGAACAAAUAUAAUUAAUCUGUCAACAACAGGAUAGAUCACUCCAUUUCUUGUCUUCACCAAGCCUUCAAGUAAUUAUUUGUAUAUUUGUAUAUGGGUCAACAAGAGGAUAGAUCACUAAUUUUAAAUUUUUUAUCAAUUAGACUAACUUGUAUAUUUGUAUAUGGACCAAUAAAGUAAUUAUUUUUGUCUUAGCCCAUUGAUAAUUAUGAAUUGAGUCUUUUAUUUGUAUAUUUGUAUAUGGACCAAUAAAGUAAUUAAUUUUGUUUUAGCCCAUUGAUAAUUAUCAAGUGAGUCUUUUAUUAUAAUAUAUCAAAUUGGGUCAAUUUACUAUGGAUCAUCAAAUUAUAUGUUUAAUUUUUUGAACGUUAAAUAAUUAGCACAAUAAAAAAUAAAUAACUUUUUUUGAAGAAAAAAUUAAAUCAAAGGUGACUAAUUCAUACACACACAAAUAUAUAUAUAUAUAUAAACUCUCAUAAUAUAAACUAAAAUUGUAAAAAAUUAGGGGGCCAACUUUGUCUUAUACAUAUAUUUACAUUUAGAAAAUGCAAUUCUCAUCUUGUAGGCAUCAACUGAUAAUAAUAAUAAUAAUAAGAACAGUUUGUUCAAGUAAUUACUUGACCGACCAUGAUCAAAUUUAAAAAUUUAUGCAAAUCUAUGGACUUUUAGAUGUGCAUGUAUAUUUGACAAUUGGAUGUGUACCUUGUGUGGUCCAUGCAAUUUUUUUGCUCAAUUGUAAUUUUCUUAACUCAUGUAAUGUAACUACCUAAUUAGCAAUAAUGAAUCUUAGAAACUCACCUAUCUACUCACUUAUAUACAAAAUGUAAACCAUGCAAGAUCACCCCACAAGUUGAAGCUUGCACCAAUUUAAUAAGAGUAAAUCUUUCCUAUGCUGACGAUGUAUACACUAUCAUCGUUGAAUUCAUGACAUAUGUGCAAAAGUUGAAUUUCAAAUUCAAAUUUUGCAUAGUUUCCAUUUAUCCAACGCUGAUAGUGUAUACAGUAUCAGUGUAGGAAAAAUUAAUCCAUUUAAUAAUUGAUGACAGGUUUGGGAUUUCUUGUUAAAAAGUGAAUUGAGACUUGUUCAUAUAUCAUAUAUAUAUAUAUAUAUAUAUAUAUAUAUAUAUAUAUAUAUGAAUAGAUGAAUCAGAGGGUUUUCUUCCUAAAUUUGAUAAGUUAUUAUCUUACAAUAUGUUGUUAGAGAGUUGCUGUAAUCAACCACACUACAGUUAGUCAAUUAUAACUUCAAUCUUUAUCUUACAAAUUAAGCAAAGGCUUGGAGAAGAUAAAAAAUUGAAAAUGACAUCGGUAUUCCUCAAACGUGAUAAAGAACUCUAUAUUUCUGGUUUUACUGGCGAAGUCCAAUUGGAAUAUCAUAUAUUGCAGUGCCAAUUGUCCUCUUUUUUUUUUUUUUUUUUGAAUUCCAUGCUAAGAAAAAUGGGACUGCUGGACAUAUACUAUGAUUUACCAUUCUGUGUUGGAUUUUGCACUUCAAUAAAAAAAGAUCUAAUUGAAUACCUUAAAAUAAGCUGUCUACAAAUCAAUUGGAAAAAACAGAAAGAAGAGAGAAUCAACAGAUGGUGGUCUAGGGAUAUACUAAUAGCUAUGCAAUGAUGAAUCCCUUUUGAGGAUAUUAUCAUAAAAUGCCUCAAAAAUCAAAAUAAGGAGUUAAAAAAUCUUGAUCAUUGAGAGGCAUAGAUGUACUUGUUUCAGGUAGAUGGCAAUCUGUGAAUUCCAGUUGGAUUAUGAAGAUUUUGGGUGAUGUAUUGCAAAUUAAAUUUUCUAUUUCCUCUUAAACUUGGGUGCCAUGAUUCUGCGUCUUUUGGACAAUCCACCUUAGCAUAUACAGAUGGAAGGCAAAGAUAAGGCUUCUUUUAUGCAUUAAAGGGGUAAAAAAGCAGAUGCAAACACAACUUAGCGAAUAUGAUAGCCUUAUAGUUUGUUUGGAUUACUAUAGUUUUUGUAGAAAAUGUAUUAUAACGAUAUGAUAUAUGUGAAGUAAAAAAAAAGUGAUUGAGAAAUGUGUUUAUAAAAAACGUAAAAUUUUUCUCUUAUAGCUUCCUCGAAACUGGUCAUCAAGUUAAUAGUUCCAUUAAGUGGCUAGGGUAUUAUAAAUCCAUCAAAGUACAUGAAAAGAAAAUGAAAUCAAUGCAAUAAAACUAAUACUUCUCCUAAACUCUAUCAAACAAAAGUUUUGAAAAUAGAGAAGCAUUUUACUUAUGGUAUGAAAUAUAGGCCACGUUAAUUUUGUGCACUACAGAAUAAAAAUGGAGGAACAAAGAUGGAAAUUUGUUAAUUGUGAAUGUUUAAUCGAUGAUCCUCAAUAUUAAGAAAAAAUUCGAGAGUUACUAAAUAUGGGGACUAUCGAAAUGCUACACAUACAAGUUAAUGCAAAAUAUAUGGCAUGAUAAAACAUUAUUAUUUAUUAUUCUUCAACCCUUGGAUGAGUUUAUUCCAUGGCCUUGUUCAUUCUCCGAGAAUCUAUACUUUGCUUUUUAUUCUUUUUUUUUAAUUUUUUUUUCCUGUAGGGGAGGUGUGAGACUUCAGAAGCAAAGAAGGAACAUAAAAAUUUUGAAUCUAGAAUCUCUGAUUUCACUGAAUCAAAACCUUAUUGGCCUCCAAAAAUCUAUACUUUAUAGAAUAAGAUGUGGUAUAUGUUUAUUAAGUUAUUAAGAAAGGUUGAUCAAGACCAUCAGGUGAUUGCCUUUUGUUACUAGAUCUUCUGCGCUGCAUCAAGAUUAUCUAUUUUUAACAUUUGAAAGGCUUCAAACUCAUUCCAAGUAUAAUACUAAUCGGGCUACAACAUUUCGCUUCAAGAAAACUUCAUCCUAUAGAAGGAAUUUUUGUAAAAGCAUUAUUAGGGCUAAAUUAAUGACAUUAUAUGUCAUGAAACUAGGUCUGUCUGUGACAGCCCCACCUUCCCCUAAGGCGAACCAAAUGGGUUGGCGGACUGCCUGCCCAGCUCUCGCCAGGACUAACGGUUCAGAUUAGCGCGAUCUAAUACUUUUCGGGUCAUACAACCGCGUGUGAACAAGUCGAACCCACAAAAACAAAAAAAAAAAAAACAAAGUCGGAGUCGGCCAGGAAGAGGAACCGACACGUCAAACCCAACCAAACGUCAAGCAAAUAUUUACAUCUCACAAGUUCGCAUAUACAACCCAAAAGGGGCAUACCAAAAUGAUUCAAAAGUGGAUACAUGUACGGUUUUCCAAAUCCAAAAGAGAAACGGACCCAAACUAUAUUUAGGGUUUAAAUCAACGAGCUAUACAAAAGAUAUGUCCAACUAGCUCAAGUCGGCAACCGAUUAUCAAAUCCAGUCCAAAAGUAUUUAUUUUUCCUGUAAGGAAAACAAAAGGAACAGAACGGGGUGAGCUUGCGCUCAAUGAGGUACCAAACAGAUAGCAAUAAAAUCAUGGCAUUUCACAUUUAACCAAUCAGAUACACAUGUCAGAUGUAAAGCAAAGGAACUAAUGAUUCAAAUUAGAAGGAUACGGGUGGCUCUCAGGAGCCAAAUUUCCAGCGCAGUACUUGAUCCAAACCGGUUGACUCUCCGUCAACGCAUAUAGAACCAACGCGUCCGUAGACCCCUCUUUACACCGAAUUCCGUCCACCAAACACUCCUUUACCGGGCCCGCUCACCGUAACCGAACAGAAAUGGUAAUACUCGAGUAUACCCGGAAUCAAGGGUCUCAAUACCCAAAAUCCCCGAACAGACUACCGUGGUUCGUUAUCUAAUCGUCCAGGCCCUUGCCGGCCCGAGUCGAAUAACUUAGCCACAGGAUUGAGCUCAUAGGUCAUUGAAAUCCGAAUAGAUGCAGACACAGAUAACAGAUACAGAUACAGGAUAGCAGAUUCAGAUAGCAGAUUCAGACGGCAGAUUUAGAUAGGCACUCAAAAUUGGCAUAUGAGCAGAUAGAAAAACGAGUGUGAUAAAGUACACCCUCGCCUCCAUUUUAUCAAAACAGUAUUUGGCUUCAAUAGUCAUAAAUCAAGUAUUCAGAUAUUCAGAUAUUUCACAUAAUGGGUAGCAGGUAGUGGAACACUCACCGGCUCAACUUCAAAAGUUUUCACUUCAGAUUGGCCUUAAUCGCCAAGAAACUCUAAAAUAAUCAAAAUAAACCAAUUGAAGGUUUUACUUCCAGAAUCGAGUAAACAGAAUGCACAUGUGAGGCUCGACUACACGUCGUACGCCUUGCCAAAUAAAUACUAAUGCAAGAAGGCAAAAAUAUGAUUCCCUUGGAAACGAAAAGGUAGCAUGAAGACCUAGGCGCAAACAACCCAAAAGCCUUUCAUUCUACCAAAAGGCAAAUCCAACUUAAAGGAACCAAACGGCCUAGAAAAUCGGGCAGCACUUCCCCUAAAUUUCUUACUUUUCCAGCCAUUAAGGCUUCAUUAUAUCCUCAAAUCAGUCCCAACAUCUCACACAAAAUUCAUCUCAUUUCCCAAAAGCUGUUCGCUAGGCUCAAAGUGGUACAAGUACAAAAGUUAGCUAGGAAACAACCGAAAUGAAAGCAAGCCCUAAAAGAGACUCGAUAACGAGUCAUAUAGCCAUACCAAUUAUAACCCUAAUAGGGUUUCAUAUGCAUGAAUAAGCAUCAUAGGUAACCAGAAAUUAAGAAAUGGCUUUAACUUAGGCAUUAACACAAAAACGUAUUUAACCUCAUAAUGCGGUAAUGACACCACUUUCACUACAGUUAUCGGAUGGGGGUACAAGACCCACCGUUUCGAAGCUAUGAAACAGGGAUACAACAAUGUAGAAGGCCACUUAGUCCAAAUCCUAGCACAACUAGGUCGAAAAUGCAGAAUUCCACAACCUGAACCGUAAUUGCAGGUUUACAAAUCACACAAAACUGUAAUCAGUACAACUCGGUCUAUACAGGUCCAAAUACAUUGAUUCCAAAGGCAUAUGGUAGCUAAGACACUCAGCUACAUUUCAUCAAAAGAUACCAACAACAAAAUCCAAACCAAUUCCAGUCAAAAUAACCCAUUUCAGACGCAGUUCGCGCAUUCUGAUCACCCAGAACAGCAACAGUAAAAAUGACAUAACUCACUCUACACUACUCCAAAUGACCUAAAAUUUUACAGGCACCUCCAACACAUCAAUACCUACACCUUUCAUGUUUUAAGCAAAGGCCAAUUCGGCCUCUAAGUAGGAGAUACAAAACCGGACAGAAAAGGGGGUGGUGAAACCCUAAGUUGCUGAAAUUUCCUCCAAAUCCAAAAUUGCUUGCAAUUAUCACUCAUUUGCACCUACUAGAGUCAUUACCCCUUAUUUCCAAUCAUCAUAAGUCAUCACACCAUCAUGAUCAUAUGAAAACAGCAAUAAUCCCAAAAAAUUGAAAACUCCAUCAAUUUCUCCAAGAACAAGAAAUAAAUCACAAAUCUCAACACUUUAGCCACUACUAAGCAUAACUUAAGCUUCAUGAAGUAUAUGAGGAAGUUGAACCACUAAUUACCUAGUAUGCAAGAGAGGGAGAGUUGUAGGACACCUUAGCUUCUCCAAAAAAUCUCACCAAAUCACUUACUAGCACCAACUAGAGGGAAUUUAUGGAGUAGAAACUAGUUUAAGUAAUUUUCUUGGAAGAUUUGAGCUAUAUGGAGGCUAGAAUUUGGAAGAGUUUUCCUUCUUUUGAGCUUCAAGGUGGCCGGCCAAGAGGGAAGGGAGAAGAGUGAAUUUUUUUGUAAUUUUUUAGAUAUUUAACUCAAGUGGUAAAAGUCAAAAAAAUGAAUAGUGUCUCAACAAAGUCCACCAAUCAUCUUGUGACACUUGUCACUACCAUUAAUGCAUUCCUAUCCCUUCUUUAUCCUCUCACAUCAAUCAAAUCUCACUCUCUACUUAUCUCUUAACACCCGAUAAAUUUUACACAGUAUCCGAAACUUAACCUUAGUGGCCGAAUUUUUCCGAACUUUUCGCACUAGCGGGUCCCACGUCCGAUAUACGUUCUUAAUUUCUCAAAAUCUAUUCGAUACUAGAAAAAUCAUUUAAAAACUAUAUUUACUCGUAAAAAUAAUCUAGAAAAUUUUCCGGAUACAGAAAGUGUAGAAAACAAGCCAUUGAAAAUAAGAAAACCUAGAAAGAUUAUAAUACCUAACAAAUGGAAAAGUUACGGGUUCUCACACUGUCAAUCGGGGCUAAUGAGUCGGGCUUUCAUAAGAUCAAAUUCAACUCAUUUAAUUUAAAACAUUUUCGGGUUUCGGACUAUGAGUUUCGGGGUCAUAAAUGUGAAACUCAUACUCAACUCACAAAAUAUUUGGGUUGUGAGCCUUAAUCGGGUUUAACCCAAACUCACUUAUUACUCCUUAAUUUUCUUAAUAUAAUUACUAUAACUAUUAAGUUGUAAAACUAAUUUAACAUUUACAAGACUACAACAUUAAAACUAAACAUGAACAAGUAAUAGUUUUUAAAAAGUAUAUAAACCAAAAAUUUUUCAACAAUAUUUAUAUUUAAUUCGUUCAAAAUGCAUGAAAAGUAGUAAUAAAAUAUGCGAUCAUAAACCAAUACAUCUUUAAAAGUUGAAACUUUUUUUAUAAUCUUGUGAUUUAAAUCCAAAUAUGCUUGAUGAUUUAUGUUUGUAGACCAAAACGAAAUCAACCAAUAUUAUGCCAACACAAAAAUUUACUCAACCAAUAAGAAAAGUUAGAGAUUUAGUUAUGCAUUACUAAUAUUGGCUCUCAAGAAAGCUCAUGGAAGAGUCUUUAGAUGUAUUUUAGCGUUUUGUAAUUUAUAUAUAUUUAGUAUUUAGUAAUAAUAUAUUUGGAUAUAUAAUUAUACAUAAUAUCAAUAUAUAAAUAUUAUAUAUAGAGGUAAUUAAAGGGUCAGGCCUAUAUCGGGUUUGAGCCUAAUAAGACUCAAGCUCGGCUCAUAUUCAAUUCGGGCCUAAUUUUUAAACUCAAACUCAGACCGGCUCACUAAAUGGUCAAGCUCAUCCGGUUUUUUAUCGGGUCGAACGAGCCGAGCUCGGGUUGGCUCAACCCCAUUGACAAUCCUACAUGAAAAGCGCAAUACAACAGAAGCAUGGAAAGUGACAACUGAUAAAUGAACUUUUUGCUAAAUGUGGAGCUCAGGACGUAGUAUUUGAAGUAAGAUUCUCAAAACAAGUGCAAAAGAAAUUUAUUGGUUAGCGAAAAAUGUUAUGGAGUAUGAGAUAUAGUUGAAAAUGGUACAAGAAGAUUCCUAAGCUGAAAAGUAUAAGGAAAAAUCCACUUUAUAUAAAGAAACAACGUAAAAUAAAAGCAAGUGGAUAAAGUUAUGAAAUUCCCUCCUGGGUUCAUUUCUUUUUAAUCUGGGCAAUAAACUUUAAUGGGUUGAAAAAAUAUAACAUAUAUUAACGAGAAAAGGCAAGCAAUUAAGAGCAAAUAAGGGUAAGUGAUGCAUGGCAUAUUAAUUUCGCCCAAAUCGUUUUCAAGAGUUAGUAAAAGUAAACUUGUUGAAAUUCAAACCCAUAUGGCAAGGCAAGACGACUGAGGCAAAGAAUAGUUGAAGGGUCUGAAGACUGAUUCCUUGUUGAUGUAAACUAAUAAUAAUUAGUUGUAUAAUAUUCAAUACUGAAUAAAGAUUUUUUUUUGGAAUAUUAAUUAAAAGAUCACAUCAACAUUCGGAAAACUUUGCUUGCUGUCACAUAUUCAGUGUACUUCAAGUAAAGUUCAUGUGAUUCUCACCAUUAUAUUGCCCCAAAAAAAGGGCUAAUAGAGAAAGCAAUUUCUUUACCAGAUAUUGAGUGAUCAAGUUUUCAGAUGCUUUCAUUAGUCAAUUUGUUAGUACAUCUAUACUUUUUUUUUUCAUGGUAAUCGUUUAAGGUUAAAAAAAAAAGAAAAAGAAAGUUACGUCCAUGUAGAAAUUAAUAUUUAGUAUGUUGCCCCUUGGACUUAUGAGAAAGGUUGAAAAAACCACCAAUGGUAUUUUCCAAAAAAAAAAAAAAACACCGUUACAACCUAAAAUUUCAUGAAGAUCUUUACUUAAGUUAGAACUUAAUUCCCCACCAAAAAAAAAAAUUGUCUGAAAUUAAAAGUUACCUCUCUUUUAGUUUGUAUGGAUCGAUACACGUAUUCGUCCUCAGUGGAUAGAAUCCUUCAUUGACCUCCACUUUUUUUGGCCAGACCUUCUUGUACUGCAUUUAGCUACUAGCGUAUUGACCCCGAACUGGAAGUCACAUAAAAUUGUGGUGGAAGUUCUGACUUAGCCAGACUAAACAAUAAAGAAAUAGAAAUUUGAAAAAAAAAUUUGAAAACAUGGAUUAAGCAUAUAAAGUUGACCUUGACCUUCUGAGUUGCCUCAAUUAAAUAAAAUGCUUAGUCAGCAAACAAGUAAAUAUUUUGCCAAAUGGUGUAGUUUACCUAUAAAGAUUCUCUAGGAAAGAGUAUUGCAAUUCUUUAAGGUUUAAUUAGAUCAAACCCCUAAGCUGUGUUUCCCAAUGUCUUACAAUCAACUCAUAAAUUUCAAUUAAUCUAUAAAUGAAUCUUCAAUACACUGAUAAUGUAUGAUCCGUCAGCACUGAAUGCAUGACAAUUCAUCUAAAUUUAAAUUUAAAAUAAAAAAUCAGCUAAUGUAUCGUGCAUCUAACCGUGAUAUAUGAUUAACUCUUUAUUUAUUGAAUCUAAGUUUGAGCGCAAAAUGCACAUGUUGAAGCCAAAAGAACAACUAUAGUUUGUUUGAAAAAGAAUUGGCCUAAGUCAAAAUUUUUGUCCGUCUCCAAGGCAUUGUUUGUUUUGAGAGAAUGGGAGGGAAAGGAAAUGGAGAGAGAAGAUUUUUGAUAUUUGGAUUAAUUUUUGAGAAGGGAAAGAAAAGGAUUGAGAGGGAAAGGGAGUUAUAAAGUUUAGUUAAAAAGAUGAAUAGACUCAAGUUUUCUCUAUUCUCCUUUCUUUCUUUCUUUUUUUUCCUAUUAAAACCCUCUCCUUUCCUUUCCUUUCCUUCAAUCCAAAUGGUGCCUAAGACUAAUCAAAUGUACAAUGAAUGUAGGUAGGCAUGGCCACGGUUCCAGAACCGCCGGUUCUAGUUCUUCAAAGAGGUAGAACCAGAACCGCACCAUCUAAGAUGGUUCUGGUUCUGGUUCUUCAAAGAGAUAGAAUCAGAACCGCACCAUCUGGUUCCGGUUCCGGUUCCAGUUCUGGUUCCUUAUAGUUCUAAUUUCGAUUCCUUACGGUCCUGGUUCUGAUUCCGUAUAGUUGUAUACAAUUUUAUUUAAUUUUUUAUCCUUACCAAUUUUAAUACGAAUAUAACAAUAUAUUUAAAAUUUUAAAUAGAAUGUAAAAAAUAAAUACAAAAUAAAGAUCAUAUUUUAAUUUUAUUAUUAUUCAACAAAGUAUGAAGUAAUAUAUAGAUAAUACAAAUUUUAUGAAAAAUACGUUAUAUUGUCAAAUUAAAAAAUACAUUACACUAUCAAAUGGUAAUAAUUUUAAAUGGAAAAGAAAAUACUUGAUUUUUCAUUGAAAUUUAGAUGAAAUAUCAAAACAAACAUUAAUUAUUUAAUCAUCUUCAUUGCUUGCGAUGGCACUAGAAUCAGUUGUAUAAUUGAAUUUUUCUUCUUCAUCUUUUUCCAUUUCUUGUUGUCUAUAUUCUGCUCUAGUUCAAUCAUCCACGCAUGCUUGAAUUUCUAGUGAUUCUGGGCUUAAUAGGCCUUUAUUGAACCGGUAAUUCUAUUUUUAUUUCAUUAUUUAUAUUAAUUAUUUUUAAUUUUUUUAACGGUUCUGGAACCGGCGGUUCUGGUUCUGGUUCUAUUUUUUAGAGAACCAGAACCGGAACCUUUAUCCAGGGUUCUACCACGGUUUUGGUUCCGGUUCCGGUUCCGGUCCGGUUCGAAACGGUCCGGUUCCGAUCCGGUUCUCAGUUCCAAAUGGAACCAUGACCAUGCCUAAAUGUAGGUGUGCAACUUUAAUGUUUGAGAAAAGAAGCUCCCAACAUUGGUUAAAUAAGGCAGUCUACGUAUAGUCUAUAUAUCACAUGAAAAUUCGAUAUUUUUGGUUUGGGCUUCUUAGGUUGAUUAAGUAUUGAAAGGCUAUUGGCAAAAUAAAUCCAAUUAGAUCGAUAAUGAAGGGGCAAAGUGGAUUUAUGUAUUUCUAAAGGAUAUUCGAAUUAAUACUUCUUGGAAUUCAGUUUACUGUUCGAGGUGGUAAUAUCAAUUUAUUAACAUGGUUGUUGGACUCUAAAUUUUCUUUUCUUUAUUUUUUUUCUUCAAGUUUUCAGUAUAGUGGUUGAUCAACCACUGAUGAAACCUUACAUACCCCUUCUCUUUUGUUCUGCAUUCCGGACUGGAAUUCUCGAAGUAAAACUUUGCAAUCUCCAUUGAACUUUUAUGGUUCGAGAAAAUUUUGGAAAUAUAAGCAGCUGUUAUUACUUUUCCUUCUUUAACCAAAAGCAAAAUGACAUUUUCAAAGGUAAAAGAUUAUUCAUUUGACAGUUAGGUAACUUUUCUGGUCUGAAAAUUAUUUAUUUACAAUCAUGCUAAACUCUUGUUUUCUUCAGACUUCAGUGGAAUGGAUUGGACCAUUGGAGUUUCGGUUUAUCACUUUUUGGGCUCUAAGGAGGGCCAAGGGCCCGUGUUUGAGUAAUGACGGUAUUCAUUCAUCAUGUUUUAGAUAUUAUUGUAAAUUUCUAGGCUUUAGCCUUGUAAUUUGCAGAGAAUUGAAAUUAAAAAAAAAUUAGGGUUUUAGCUUAGUAAUUUCUACAGUAGUAUAAACAGAUUAGGAGUAGUUUGCACAGAAGUUUAGUUUAGUAGUUAGCUAAGAAGAGAAAAGAAGAUGAGCUUUUAAUAUUGUUCGGGAAUUUAAGAAAGAAGUGAAAGGAUUUGGAUAUAAGGGAUGAGUAAAUCCUAUACAACCACUCUUUUUGAAGACAAACUAGACCUUUUAAUUUUGAGAACUUUUAUAACCACACAGCAAGUUUCCUCUCACUCAAUUAUCCAACUUGGAAGGAAAGAUUUUUUAUGGUGUAUCUCAAAAUUUUUUGGGGAAUUUACAAAAGAAUGUUGUUGAAGUAGGGGAACUUUCCAUAAUUCCAUUGGUUGAGAAUAAUGCAAGAUCAAUUGAAUUCUUUCAAGAUCCAACUUUCAUCAAGGAAGAUCAAUUUGGGAUGGACGGUGAGCUUAAAUAAGAUGAGCCCAUAAAUUAUUUUGCUUUUGGAGAAACUGAAAUAUAUGAACCAGGCAAAAAAGAGUCUCUAAUGUACCAAAGAUUGACCAAACUCUUCACAAAUAAUCCCACUAAUUAUCCUUUGGAAUAAUUUUAGAAACCUCCCUUGAGGUUUCUAACUAUUUCACUGGCCACCUUUUAGACUUCAAAAAUUAUACUAACCUUUUUUAAAUUUAUUAUCUUAUAACAUUUAGGUUCAACUAGCAAUUAAAAGGUGAUAUUAGGAGAGAGAAUAUAACAUGAUUUCACCAUUGCCUAGAUUAUUCAGUUAAUCUAAUAUCAUCUCACACAUUAAAGAAAAACACUAGAAUCCGCUGUUUAUCAUCUAGGAUCAAAUAACAUAUAGUAUCAAAAAAUAAUAUAUCAUUGUAUAUAUUUCACUUAAUUUAAAAUUCAAAUUACUUUUUCAGUUAUAUACCAAUUGUUAUACAUGAUCAACAACAAAUAAUUAAAAAAAAUUGCAACCAAAAAUUACAAAAAGCGAACUUUAAUACCAUAAAAAUCUCGACAACUAACCUUAAUAUGUUGAUAAGGAUAUUUAUGAUACUCCCUCCGUCCCGUUUUGUUAGUCUUGAUUUUUUUUCACACAGAUUAAGAAAGUGUAAUUAAUUUGGUUGGAAACAUAAAUUUAGAUUAAUAAUUUCCUAAAAUACCCUUAUGCUAAUCACGAAGAGUGCCAAUUAAUAUCAAAGAAUGAUGGCAUUAUUUGUUUCCCUCCUGAUAUAAAUAAAUUUUAAAGAAUAAUAAGAUAGACUUUUCAUUUAUCUAUGUAUUGGAAAAACUCAAUGUAUUCAAUGUAGUGGGUUAGUAUUUAAUAACAAUGUAUUAAUAACAAGAUAUUUAAUAAGGGUAUUUUAGACAAUUUGAAAGAUUACUACAUUCCUUAAUGGGAAAGUGGACUACAAUUUGGGACAGAUGAAAAAGGAAAACAAGACUAACAAAACGGGAUGGAGGGAGUAUUAAGGUUUGCUCUUUGUAAUGUUUCAUCUGCAAAUUUUUUUUAUUAUUUGUUGUCGAUUAUGUUUGAUAAUAGGUAUGUCACUGAAAAGAAUAGUUAGGAUCUUGCAUUUUUUUUAUUUUUUGGUAAACAACUCAUAAUAUGUAAAAAAAAUUUAAGUAAGCUAAAAAUAACAAAAUCAUCAUUUUAUCAUACAAAUUAUGUUUUUGUAUUUUCAAAAUUUAAUGUAUAUGCAUAUAUUAUUGAUAUGUAGUUAUAACAGGUAUAGCAAAUAUAAGCUUAUAACCAUCAUAGUUAUUUUAAAUUUUUUAAUAAAUAACUUACAAUAUGUAAAAAAUUAAAAUGAACUCUAAAUAACCAAGUCAUCAUUUUAUCAUACAAAUUAUGAUAUUUUUAGUUCUUAAAUUAUAAGAUAUAUGCAUAUAUUAUUAAUGUGCAGCUAUAUAUAUAUAUAUAUGUAUGUAUGUAUAUUUUCUACGAGAAUAUCCUUCUCCGUCCCUUGUCCCAUUUAAAAUGGGGGAAGAAAAAUCCCCCCACUUUCGCACUGCCUUGCCUUGCCCCGUUGCUCUCUGCGAGGCAAGUGUUUGCCAUGCCUAACUUUUUUUUUUUAUUGAAACAAUAGAAUUGUAUUGAUUGGACAAAAGUAUAUAAAGGCGAGCACAUGCUCGAUGCUUUACAAUGUGCAUUUAGCACAGUAGAUUGGGAUUAACACACUCUACAUCAUGAUAAUUACUCAGAGCUUGAGCAUUAAAUAAACAGCUAAGAUAAUUCUUAUUAAUUUUUCCUAAGGGAUAAUUGCAGAAACCUCCCCUGACGUUUAUAGUAAUAGCAUUGUCCUCCCCUAUCAAUUUUGAAAUUGCACUGACCUCCCCUAUCAAAAGUUGGAGGCAAUUUAAUAGGCAAAAGUGGGUCAAUUUACUAAAGUACCCCUGACAUGAUUUAAUUUUACCAAAUGAAUGUGAUGAGUACUUUCAUCAAACCCAACAAAACAUUUGUUAAUAAAAAUUACACUAAAUUAACUAUUUCUGCAUAGUUUAACUAAUUAACUAAAUAACUAAAUAACUAAUAAUCUAAUUAAUUAAUAACUAAUUAUCUAAUUAACUAUUAACUAAUUAUCUAAUUGUUAAUAGUUAUUAACUAAUCAAACUAUUUCUGCAUAGUUAAACUAAUUAACUUUUUGAAUUUUACUUACAAAUAUUGAUGUUUUUAUCAUAAAUUAAAUGUUUGAAAGUAAAAUACCUAUAAAGAGCUGAUACUUUAAAUAGGUAAUGCGUACUGCAUAUAGUUUAGCAUGCAAAUAGUUUGUUAAUUAGUUAAGCAGUUAAUUAGUUAAUUAGUUUAACAUGCAAAUAGUUUAUUAGUUUCGGACAGACAAAAACUUUAGUUAAUUAGUUAAUUAAUUAAUUAGAUAAUUAGUUAAUAGUUAAUUAGAUAAUUAGUUAAUAGUUAAUUAGUUUAACUAUUAACUAAUUAGAUAAUUAGUUAAGCAAUUGUCAAGCAAAUAAUAAAUUGUCAAGCAAGAAAAUUCUUAUCUCACUUCUACAAAAGCUGUCAAGGAGGUUUCUGCCACGAAUUGUUACUGUUCAGGGGAGGUGAAUGCAAUUUCUAAACCUAGAGGGGAGGUCAGUGCAAAUGUCAGAAAUCUCAGGGGAGGUUUCUGCAAUUAUCCCUUUUCCUAAACAAAAGGAGCAUUUGUAAAACGUACUCAAUUCACGGAUGUCAUUUGUCAGGGUAGCUAGCCAUAUAUAGACUGUUUUACCCCCUUGAAUUUGCUGCAGCUGGUCUUUAUUUGGAACUCCAAUGCAUACAAACCUCCAUCCUUGCUCUUGACACCUUCAACACAAUGUUGAAAUUGACUCUCACUUGCUCUUUCUCUCAUCUUCCCAUCCCAUCACAUCCUGCCCCCUACUAUCGGCUGCUACAAUGCGCCUUACUAUCGGUUUGCCAUUCCUAGCUACUAUAGGAAUAUUUGGCUGUAAAUUCUUGACUUUGGAGGUCCCUCAUCCCGCCUCUCAAAGGAUUAGACUUUAGAGUUUGGUAGCACAAUUUGCUGCGGUGUAAUUUCGUGGGCCGUCCCAACCAUAAAUAAGCUGGUGCCGCAUCUAUACAUAGGAUUAUGGUCGGACACGGUAGAAUGUCUAGGACACUUUGGUGGCCUCGUUACUUACAAUCGAUGCACCAGGGGGGAAGAUCGCUAAAGUUGUACCUGCGAUGAAUGUUUUGUUCCCUUGUAUUGGAUCAACACGGGGGAAUUUCUCCUCCUCUAGUAGGAGCCAAUGUCUUACUUUCUUGUAAUCCUACCACGACAUUUUGUCACUCCGGGAACCAAAGCAAAUGUCAAUGGGGUUCGUCAAUCUCACUCUAAGUAGCCCAACCGGCGUCAGCAUCUCUAAUCUCAACAUGAAUGCUCAGCUUUGCCUCAAAGGGGAUUCCUUAGAGCACCCAUUUAACCCAUUGCUAUAACAAUUGGAUCCAUGUAUGGUUUUGCUUAUCCAUUCGCUGUCGUCAUAGCCGCUAGUUUUAGCUGGUAAUGCUGAAGCAAACGCUGUAGCUGGCCAUUUCUCCUCGAGUCCUGACAACUUCCGGUUCUUUCUUGCCAAGUAUCCCCACUGUGAUUUGGGAUCUAUAUAUAUUUUUUAACUAUUAUUAGCUGUAAAUUUUUUACUUUGGCACUUCCCUGUCCAAGCUCUUACUUCUUAGGGGAUUUCAGUAUGGCUUUCGUGGACGGUCCCAAGUCCCAACCAUAUAUAAGCUUGUCCCUGCUCUAUAGGUGGGAUUGUGGUAGGGUAGUUUCCUAAGGUAGCUGUUCUUGCACGUUUGCUGGGGCAGUCCCUUAUCUAUAAGACCGAGAAGUUAUUGCAUGGGUGCAAUAGCUCACUAUCCAUCAUUUCUUAUCAAAUACUUUGUAAAAUUAAAUUGUUCAUAAAUUGAAAUAUGAUUCGUAUUAGUGUAGCAAGGGAUAAUGUCGGACUUCAAAGUCGGUGUAGCUGUACUUUGUCCGGUUGGACCCGUUCUACUAGUCGUUGUGUUUGCUACAACCUUUUUUUGUACAUAUUAUUAUUGUACCAAAUUUACAUAAAAUUAGUAUUUAGUGCACGCUCAAUGUAUAUGCAUCAAAUCUUAAAUAUCGUAUAUUUGUAAAAUUGUUUUUAUGAAAAUUGAUUUUGUAUUUUCCUAAUGAAUAUAUAGAUAUGUCUAUGUGAAUGGAUAGUAACUUAUAAUUAGUUUUUACUUGUUUAAUGAAUAAUGAAUUUGUUUACAAAUGGUGCAGGACUAGGAAUGAAUGAUUGGAGAAGUUAUUGGACAGAAAAAAUGUUGGAUGGUUUUAAUUCUAGUCACUACCCUCGGUCAAAUCAGGCCUCUAGGAUCACAUGUCACUUACAAGGAUGAUUAGAAAAAUUUAAAUAACGUAUGGUUGUUAAUUUAGCAGUAUCGAGAUUAACGUGCAAUUGUUGGGGAUAAUAGUUCAAAUUCAAAUAUGGUAUUUUUUUUCUUUUUUUUUUUUAUCUUUUAACCUAAGAGGUUAGGACGACUUAGGCCUUACAAUUAAGGGUAUAAUAAAAAUAUCAAAACAUUCUCACCAGUAGGGGUGGGAUUGGCAGUGUAUCUGAGAGAGGUUCGAAAUUUUUCACUUACAUUUAAAAAAAUAAAAACAAAAACAAACGCUACCACCGAUGUAUGUAUUAAACACUAGUGGCGAACAAUAUUUUCUAGUGUAUAACUCUCCUCCUUUUCUCUAACUCCUCCUCCUUUCCAACAAAAAAAAAAAAAACAGCGCUUUCCUCAAUGGCUUCUCAUCGUGAUCAUUCUUUCUUUGUUGUCUUUCUUUGCCUCGCUAUCCUCUUUGCUUUCAUGGCUUCUGAUACAGCCAACGUCAAUAUAGUUGUGCCCAGGAUGAGGGUUUCUGAUCGAUUACACUGCACCAAUACGGGGAAUCAUUUACCUGCUGGCCUUUCUUCUCCUCUAAUUGGAGCCAAAGUCUCAGCCACUUGCAAUCUUGGUACUACAAAUUUUGUCGCUCCGGUAACUAUAACAGAUGUGAAUGGCUUCUUCAGUGUCACCAUAAAAGAUGUCGACAUGAUCCUUAAUUACACCACAAAUACAUCUCGUCCAACUGUUGGAAAAUUGUAGUAAAUAACAAAACUAAACUAGACAAAUGUAGAGACUUUGAGGCGUGAAAGCACUUUACUUAAGGUGUUAUUUGCUUAUAUUAGACAAAUUACCUCUAGGAUACAACAAAGUCUAAGAACUAUCAAAUGAAAAGUAAAAGUGAUUUAAUUAUGUCGAAAUCCUACUAUUUAAAAGAAUUGAAGCACCUGUCCAAGGCACUAUCACAGGAUGCAAUCCUUGUUGAAUAGGUGUAUAAGCAGUUAACUAAUUAACAGAUAUGUCUGCUAAACGUAACCGCCAACCGCCAACCGCCAACCGCCAUUAACUACCUCUGAUUGUCUGCUCAAUUACGAUUUGGCAAGCAUUUCUUUUUUCUGAUUUUAGCACCCAAGAAAUUUUAGAAGUUUAAAGAAUAGAAUGCAAGAAUAACCUUGUAAAAAUUUGAAAUAAAAAUCUCAACUUUAGUCAUAUAUAUAUAACACAAGCAUGCAAGCUGGGUUUAGAGUAUCAUUGAAAAAGAUGAUAAGAUUCAUAACUUCAUAGUGAUAAGAUUCAUGGCUUGCAGAAAUAAAUUAGUAGAAACUGCUUACUAAUUACACGAGACUCUUGUGUGUUUAGAUAGUAGAUUUUUUGAAAUAUUAUUUAAAAUAAUUAAUGUAACACUUUUUGUGAUGUGAUAUAUAUGAAAUAAACAAAUUGUUGGGGAUUAGACUUGCAAACGAAUCGAAUCGCAUCGAGUUUUGAUCUAGUGAGUUGGGUCACGACUUAAUUUUACCAAAACUUGAACUCGAACUUGAGUUCGACGAGCUCUCAAUAUAAAGUCAAAUUCAAACUUCAUCUCAAAUUCGAGUCGAGUCGAGCUCGAGUUUAAAAAAAUGAAAAAUAAUUAUUUUAUUUUUAAAAAUGAACAAAAUAGUAAUUUUUGUUAACAAAUAAUAAAAUAUUAGGAAUAUAUGCGCGUGUGUGUGUGGUGUAAAAUCACUAUUAAAAUAAAAAAAUAUAUAAAAUUGAGCGAGCUCGCGAGUUAACGACCUCAAUAUCUUUGAUCCUAAAUUCGACUUCUUCAGCUCGAACUCAACUGGAGAUCAAUAUUAGGGCUACAAACGAGUCGAGUCAAGCCAAACUUUAGCCUAAUUGAGCCAAACCUUGACUUAGUUUUAUCAAACUUGAACUUGAAAUCGAGUUCGAUGAGUUGCCAAUUUAAAACUCGAGCUCGAAAAAAUAAAAAAUAAUUAUUUUAUUUUUUAAAAAUAAAUAAAAUAAUAUUUUUCUUAAUAAAUAAUAAAAUAUUAAGAAUAUACAUAUAAUUUUACUAUUAAAAUAAAAAUAAAAAAUAUAUAUAUACUCGAGCAAACUACAACAAAGAAAAAGUGGACAUUAAAUAAAUUUCAAAUUUCCAUUGGAAAGUGAAAAAUAAAAGAUAGGUGGGAUUUAAAAUAUAUAGCUAAAUGAGGGGUCUGAAUAAAAUAGCAAACAUAUUUUAAAUAUAAAUUUUUUAGUAAAUAAAUAAAUAAAAAUUAAAACUUGAAAUUUUUGAAGCAUAUUGCCUUAGCUUGGGCCGAAAGACAGCUGAAGAGAUAACAUUACAUAUUAUAACUUAGGGCAAAUCGUCAAUUUAAUCUCUAAACUUUUUCACUUAAACCAAUUUCGUCAUCUAUGAUUUUUUUUCACCAAUUUAGUUCUCAAACAAUUUUAUCAGAUUCAAUGUAGGACUUAUUAGGCGACGCCACCAUAUUUUAUGUAUUUCAUAUGGCGGGCCAGCGAUAUAAUUGGAAUGACAAGUUCGACUGUCUAAUUAUAGAGAUUAUAAUGGAGACUUUUAGAUGAUUAAAGACAAAAAUCGCUGAAAAUUGAGAGAGGAGCACUGAAGAGAAACCCAACCAAGGUAAUAUUUUGGAUCCUUAUGGAGCAGCAGAGCAGAGUCGUGGCCGAAAAUGGUUCCCCAGAUGUCUACUGUAUCAAAUGUAUUUGGUUCCAGGGCCUUUGAGAGAUUCAGGUACGAUCUGACGCUUUUAGAAGCAGCAUCCAGAAGCGACAACUUGGGCAACGCUUUUGCUGGGCUGGUCAAGGAGUCCACCGCCACACUGCUCAACUCCGAUGCCCGGAAGGGUUAUCCCUACUCUGCUUGGGAAAAUCAAGACUUUGGUGAUCUAGGCUUUGGUUUCCAAACACACCGCUGCCUGAAGAAGCACGGAACUUCCCCGGAUCGAACUGACCUGAUGAGCUCGGGGUGUUGAUGGAAGAGCUGGUUCUAAGCCUGCAAGGUAAACAGGAGAGUGGACUGGCAGGGGCCCCGAGGUUGUCCCCGAGGGCACUCCGACGGUCAAGUUAGUCCUCCGGCGAGUGAGGGAAGUACCAACAGUAAAGCAGUUGGGAGUAAGUUGCCAAUAGUGAGCAUACCUUGUACAGUUGGUAUGUGUUAUCAUUUAUACCUGUUGAAGAGUCCGACCUCCGUACGUUCCGGGGCUUGCCGUAGAUAGCCCCCAACCCCGCGCUAAGGGGGAUUCUCCCCGCCCUCUGCGGGGUAGCUCUCGGGAGCCUCCCGGAGCCCUAGUCGCCGCGCCCCCUGGGCUGGUUCCCCGUGGGCCCGGGGCGCAAGCCCAGCUCGGGUCGCCCCUGGGCUGCCACGUGUGCAGGCCCAGGAUGGGGCCUCUGCACUAGCCCCCUAGAUUAGGUCCGGCUCCCAGGCAGACCUGAUCUAUCACUUGGCCACGUGGAAGCCCAUCAUCACACUGCUCUGCCGCGGUCACCUCCGAGGCUGUGCUGACAUUGGGAAGUGGCGUCCGCGUCCCUUCAGUUGUCGCUUCCCUUCGGUCUCCGUACCCCCAUUAAAUGUGUUCACAUGGGACGGUUCAAAUUCAAGUAACCGUUUCUCCCCCAUUUCGUUCCCUAUAAAUAGGGGCUGCCAAAUUCCGGUUAACUCCAUUUGCCAUUUUCUCCUUUCUUCGUGCAUUUCCAACUCCCAGUAGUGCAUUUCCGGCCAACAGCACCCAGAUUCCGGCGAUCCUGUUCACCGCUUCAACUCCAACACAUUCCCUGUCCACUAGUAAGUCCUUUCCCCUCUUCUUUCGCAUUUCCUUACCUCUUUUCAUCACCCUUUGCAUUUUAUGUCGGGCCUCUCCGACGUUACUUCUACCGUAUCCCAGACUCCGGUCCAUCGUAGAGCCACCAGAAUCUUCAUCUCCUCUUCAUCUUCAUCUUCAUCUUCAUCGUUUCCCCCUCCUUCUCCUUCUUCAUCCUCUGCUUCCAACCCCCAUUUUCCCAUUCCUGAUUUGCUUGAGCCCAUUGACAUCAUGAGUUCUCCCUCUGCCCAUUCUCCUUCCGCCCGCCUCCGAGCUUGAUGCCUACAUCCGGCAGCAAGCCACUUCUGUCCCAUCCCCCGAGUCCCCACAUGACUCCCCUGGCGGAGCCCAAGGGGGAGCUGGGGAGGACAGGGAAUCCUCAGAGGGGACCCCUGCUGCCGAGCAGGGGGGAUGAUCCUGAGUUCAAUUACGGUCACCCCGAUCGGGAGGAGACCACCCUCUCGCCCGGGGCGGUAGCCGAGCUGGCCUCUUCAUUCUCUAUUCCUCCGGCCUUCGAGCCGCGAGCUGCCGAGCCCACCGACCGGGCUUGCCGACCUCCCCCAGGCUUUGUAGCCAUUUACAAAGAGCAGCUGGUCGCGGGGCUUCGACUCCCCAUUCCCCCGGCCCUGGCCGAGAUCCUGAGCUUCUGGGGGCUCAGGAUCACCCAGGUCCACCCUAACUCCAUCAGGAGCAUCAUCGGGUUCCUGAUCUACUGCCAGAUCUGCUCCAUCCCCUAUUCUCUCUCUCUCUUCCGCACUAUCUACGUCCUCAAGGCCUCCCUCCCUGGGUGGUACUACUUCUGCCGUCGCUCCACCAACAAUCGCGGCGGGAAGGGGGCCCAGGAUCUUCUCUACGGGGUCCCCUCUUCCGUGAAGAACUGGAAGGGGGACUUCUUUUUUGUCAAAACCAACCAAUUUCCUCCCAAUGCAUGGAAGGUUGGGGGGGUCGAGGACGACCCCUGCCCGGAGGACCUGGACCUUAAGGCUCUCGCCCAGCUGCUGGCCUCUGCGACGAAACUGUACGCAGCCAAGUUCUGCACUGAGCAGAUUUCCGCAGCCGGGCUGUUGGGGAAGCUGUCCGGGUCCCCCGGAGGGGUGGAGUUCUCCCUCGCCGACCAUGAUGCCUGUAAUAUUGCACCUGUUCCCCUGUUAUCUGCUGCCUUUUUCCCUUUGUUUUUCUGACCUAUAGCACUAACUUGGUGAUGUUCUUUGUAGUGAAGAGGCUUUCCAGGCUAUUGGGUGCGGCGGUCGAGGAGACAGCCUCCGCUGAACAGCCUGAGGCGGCGAAGAAGGCCCCUAAGGCCUCUGCGACUCCUGGGGGCAGCUCGACCCCCCAAAAAGAGGCCUCUCAAGCUCAGUCCCCCUCCAAGCCAGCCCCCGGAAAGGAGAAGGCAACAGGGCAGAAGAGGGGGCGAGAAGACGAGCCUUCCCAGCUUGGGAAGAAAACCGCGCAGGGCCCAGCUCAGCGCCCUCUCCUGCUGACGUCUGGAGGCCCGGUCCACCUGGGGGUAGGCUCCGCGGAGGAGCACGCCCAGGAGAGCGCUCCCCCGAGCUUGUGGCACUUCCGCCAUGUGGCCCCCUCGAAGCCGGGGCAGGCCCCCACAAUGCAUGAUCCCCGGCGUUUCUGUCCGUCCUGGGAGCUCUCCAUCAAUGACCGAGCCCAAUUCCCCGAAGUGGCUCGCGAGCUGGUCACGGGCUCAGUCCUUCCACGUGACAAGAAGUUGAUGGAGCUGGCCACCCCGUCUGAGCUCCAAGACAUGUACUACACCGCCCAGGCCCAAGUAAGCCUUUCCCCCUUUUAGGCCCCCUUGAGCCCCUGCUCUUUCUCUGAAUGGGGCUAGCAAUGAGCUGACUCUUACUUUUGUUUCUACAGGCCAACGCCGCCGGUGCUGCCCUGAUGACCCGUUUCUCCGAGCUGUCUCCCGACUUGGAGAAAAUGCAAAAGAAAAAUCGGGAGGCGGAGCAGAAGCUGACCAAGGCCCUGAAGAAGGUGGACUCCCUUAAGGCCAAGCUGGGCAAGGCUGAGAAGGGGCUGGAGGACUCCCAGGUCCAGCUCGCCUCCACCCGGUCCGAGCUGGACCAAGAGACGAAUGGCGUGGCGAAGCUGAAGGAGGAGCACGCCUUCGAGCUCUCUGGCACCAUCAGCCGGGAGAGCAAGAAGGCUGUCCGGGACUUCAUCUCCUCCGAUCAGUUCGCCGAUGACGUGGCCUGCCUCAACCAGCCCAUCUUCCAGAUCGGCGCCACGCGGACCCUGGACAAGGUGAAGGGUCUCAACCCACCCGGCUUCAACUUGGCGGACAUCAAGAACUACAAUCCUGCGGCCGAGGAGAAGCUUGACUGGCUCUUCGAUGGGUACCGCAAGGGGCAUGCCCUGAGGGAGCUGAUGGGAAGGAGCGAUGUGGGGGCCGAGCUGGCGGAGCUUCCUUUGGAGGAGGAGGAGACUCCUGGCAAGGCUUCCGGGAAGGAGCCCAUGGCCUAAAGCAGCGGCCACUCCAGAAACCCUUUCCGUCUCCUUAUAAGGAUGUGACCAUGCUCCAGUUGAAAAUGCUCUUGAAGGUCCAUCUGAGACGGAAAGGCCCCCCAAGUCCUUUUUCACAGCCUUCUCCACCCGACAUAAGGAUGUGACCAUGUUCCAGUUGAAAAUACUCUUGAGGGUCCAUCUGAGACGGAAAGGCUCCCCAGAUCCUUUUUAAUAGCCUUCUCCACCCGACCUCCAACAUACUUAAGGUGCACCUUCAGCUCCUACCUCUCAACAUGUUUGAGGUGUACCUUCAGCCCCUACCUCUCAACAUGUUUGAGGUGUACCUUCAGCUCCUGCCUCAAGCAGAUCGCCAGCAAGAAGAAAGGCGUAGCUAGGUUCCCCCCUUUCCCUGUAUAGCUCGGUAGGCUUUGUAAUAGAUAGGCUGAAAGUUUUGUAAUAGAUAGGUUUUGAAUGUUUAUACGAAAUUCGAAAGAGUCCCUCCUACAAUUCUUUCCUGCACCCCACUGCAACAAACGAAACCAGGUGCCGACCUCCUUGGUCGAGCACCAAAUGCAUACCCCCGUUAAUCUAACAACUAAAUCAUUAGAGGGAAGCAGAUUGUCGAAAACCUGUGCCGACCUCCCGGGUCGAGCACCCCACCGUCCUACCGGGGCAACGUGCCAGUCUCUUGGGGCUGAGCACCAAAUCCUUAAGGGUCUUCCCCGCCGACCUCCCGGGUCGAGCGUCCGACCUUGAAGGCGUUCGUGUCGACCUCCUGGGCCGAGCGUGGAAUUUUCGGAGCCCUUCAAAGUUCUUCAAAGUUUUCCAGUCGUGCCGACCUCCUGGGGUCGAACACUCUUACGAACAUUCUGGCAUCCAGUACUACCCCCUAGCCCCCCACUAGGACAUUUAGUGAGGGAACGCUAAGUGUGCUAGUGUAAGAUUCAAGCUUAAAAAGCAAACAAGUACAAAUAAAAUCACAAACAAGUGAGCUUGUAUUGAGUAAUGAAACUGAAAUUCGAAUUCCAGAAAACAGACAAACGGACACCCUGGUCCAACCUAUGCCUACAAACAGUCGCAGAUUGGAGAAGUGCCAAGUGCGGGGUAACUCUGAUCCAUUUAUUUUCGCGAGCUUGCAGUAGCCAGCUCGGCUUGCCUCGAGGACCUGGUAAGGGCCCUCCCAGUUCGGGUCGAGCUUGUUGGAGUUAUGAGCUCGGCUGAUCGAGUUUUUCCUUAGGACAAGGUCCCCUGGCUGGUACUGUAUGGUCCUUACUCUGGCAUUAUGAUAGCGGGCAAGCUGGCUUUUGUACUUAGCCAUCCGUACUGCCGCUUCUUCACGCUUAGCCUCCAGCGUGUCCAAGUUGUACCUCAGCUCUUCCCUGUUGGUUGACGCAACGAAGUUCUGUGUCCGGGGCGAGGGGAGACCAAUCUCCGCGGAUACCACCGCCUCUACUCCGUAAGUCAGAGAGAACGGGAUUUCAUGGGUGGCCGUUCUGGGCGUGGUGCGGUAAGCCCAGAGAACGCUAGGUAGUUCGUCUAGCCAAUUAGACUGGGCUAGCUCCAACCUAGUCUUUAGCCCCUGCAGGAUGGUUCGGUUGGCAUUCUCCACCUGACCGUUGGCUUGGGGGUGUCCAACCGAGGUGAAGUGCUGGUUAAUCCCGAGCUCGGCGCACCAAUUUUUGAAGGGAUUUUCGGCAAACUGUCGGCCAUUGUCGGAUAUUAGGACGUGCGGGAUUCCGAAGCGGCAGACUAUGUUUUUCCAGAAGAACUUCUGAAUUGCCCUACCAGAGAUGGUGGCCAGGGGUUCGGCUUCCAUCCACUUCGUGAAAUAGUCGAUGGCUACCACGAGGUGUUCGUACCUGCCCGGAGCUCGGGGGAAGAGACCCAGGAGGUCUAUCCCUCACUGGGCGAAAGGCCAGGGACUGUGGAUGGGGACCAUCUCCCGGGUGGGUUGGUGGCGCAGCGAGGCAUGCACCUGACAUGCUCGGCAUUUUUGAACCAAAGCAGCCGCAUCUUGGAAAACCGAAGGCCAAUAGUAGCCCAGGAGAAGGCAUUUUUUGGCUAGUACCCGGGACUCGACAUGCGCCGUGCAUAAUCCUUCAUGGAUUUCGCAGAGGACAUAAUCGCCCUCCUCGGGAGUCACGCACUUUAGCCAGGGGGAUAGGUAUGACCUCCUGUAGAGGGUUCCCCCGGCGUAGGCGUACUUGGCAGUUCUGAACUGGAUCCGGCGAGCCUCGGUUUUGUUCUCAGGGAGGGCACCCGAGCUGAGGAAGUUUACGAGAGGGGUCAUCUAGAUGGCCGAGCUGUCUAUAGCCAGGACCUGGACCUGAUCGAUAUUUUUCUGUUUCACAACCUCAACCAGAACUUCUUUGUUCAGGUGCGCAAACGAGGAGGAUGCCAGAUUUGACAGGGCGUCUGCGCGCUUGUUUUGCGAUCUAGGCACCCGCUCGAUUUCAAAUGUAUCAAACAGGGCUGUCGCCCCCUGCACCUUGGCCAAGUACUUCUUCAUGACCUCCUCCUUGGCCUCGUAUUCCCCGCAGACCUGGAGGACGACGAGUUGAGAGUCACUCCAGACUUUGAUCGCGGUAAUACUCAUCUGGUGGGCUAUCCGCAAUCCCGUCAAUAGGGCCUCAUACUCAGCCUCAUUGUUAGACGUGGGGAAGUCGAACCGGAGAGCAUAGAUUAGUUCUUCCCCUGUUGGCGAGAUGAGCAGUAGACCGGCUCCGCUUCCCUCCUUGCUGGAGGCCCCAUCUACGAACAGCACCCAUGGCUCCUUCGGCUGUACAUCAUCGCGUAGAGGGCUUAGCUCGGUUAGGGUCAAGUUGGCCCCCUCAGCAAGGAAGUCUGCCAGGGCUUGGGCCUUGAUGGCUGUGGGAGGCUUGUAACCGAUGUCAUGCUCAGCCAACUCGACGGCCCACUUGGUCAUCCUGUCCUAGAUUUCGGGCUUGGUGAGUAUCUGCCGCAGGGGUUGGUCGGUCAUGACGACGACGCUGUGGGCCUGAAAAUAAGGUCGAAGUUUUCGGGCAGCAUGCACCAAAACCAGGACCAGUUUCUCAGCCGGCGUGUACCGUGUCUCCGGCCCUUGGAGAGCACGGCUGACAUAAUAUAUCGGCCUCUGAGCCCCCCUGUCCUCCCGCACCAGAACCGCGCUAACGGCCUCGUUGUAGGCGGACAAGUACAGGAACAAGGUUUCUCCCUACUCCGGUGCGAUCAGGGUGGGUAGCUCGGCCAAAUAUGCCUUGAGGUCGGUGAAAGCCUUCUCGCACUCCUCGGUCCACUGAAAGUCUUUGGGUACCUUAAGGAUUCGGAAGAAGGGGAGCCCCCUCACCGCGGGCUGAGAGAGGAAUCUGUUCAGGGCGGCCAUCCUCCCCGUGAGUCGCUGGACCUCCUUCACAUUCCGUGGAGGGGCCAUGUCCAUGAUGGCCUGGAGUUUUUCGGGGUUGGCCCGGAUCCCUUCUCGGGAGACCAAGAAACCGAGGAACCGGCCCGACCUAACUCCGAAGGUGCACUUCUUCGGGUUUAACCGCAUCCGACUCUCCCAGAGGAUGCUCAAAAUCUCCCUCAGGUCGGGACGAGCUGUGGUCCUGCUCGGCUCUUGACUAUCAUGUCGUCCACGUAAACCUCCAUGCUCCUACCGAUCUGGUUCUGAAAUAAUUUAUUGACCAAGCGUUGGUAAGUAGCUCCGGCAUUCUUUAGUCCGAAGGGCAUCGUCCGGUAGCAGUAAGUUCCUUCCUCGGUGAUGAACGAUGUUUUUUCCCGAUCCUCCUCGGCCAUCUCUAUCUGGUGGUAUCCCUUAAAGGUAUCCAAGAAACACAAAACAUCAAAACCAACAGUAGCAUCUACUAACCUGUCGAUCCUUGGCAAGGGGAAGCAGUCCUUCGGGCAGGCUUUAUUGAGAUCCGUGAAGUCAACGCACAUCCACCAGGACUGGUCCUCCUUCUUUACCAGAACAGGGUUGGCUAGCCAGGUCGGAUAGUAGACAUCCAUGAUGAUUUUGGAUUCCAGCAGCUUCCCGACCUCCUUUCUGAUCACCUCAUUUCUCUCUGGAGCGAAGUUCCUCUUCUUCUGCUUCACAGGCCUGAAGCGGGGGUCUAUGUUGAGGUGGUGGACGGCCAGGUCAGUCGGAAUCCCAAGCAUGUCUUCUACCGUCCAAGCAAAAACCUGGGCGUACUCCCUUAGGAGGGCCUUCAGGUUGUCCUUCUCUUUGGGCGGCAGCGAUGCACCGAUACGGAUUGUCUGGUAAGGCCUCCCCUCCUUCAAUGGAAAUUCCGCGAUCUCAUCCGGAGUGUCCAGCUGCCGUUCCUCCUCCCCCGGGAUGUAGGGUUCCAAGCUGGUCGCCUGAGCGACCACCUUCUCAUGCCCCUGGAGCAUGGCGAGGUAGCAAGUUCGGGCCACUUCCGGAUCUCCAUGCAUCUCGGCAACUCCUUCUGGGGUGGGGAAUUUGACGCUGAGGUGGAGCGUUGAAGGAAUAACUCGGAGGGCAUUCAAGGUGGGCCGACCAAGAAAUAUGUUAUACGGGGAUGGCUGCUUGACCACCACAAAGUUGACAGGGAUGGUCCGGCAUCUAGGUGCCUGACCUACUGUGACCAUCAGGGUGAUCAUCCCCUCCGGGUUGACAGGCGGUCCGGUAAAACCCACCAGGGGUGUCCGAACCGGGGUCAGCUGUCCAUCCUCCAAGCUGAGCUCCUUGAACACCCGAUAAAACAUAAUGUUGACCGCACUGCCUUGGUCGACGUAUACAUUCUUCACCCGAUAGUUGUUGGUCACAACAUCGAUGACUAUAGCCUCAUGGUUCCCAGAUGCUAGGGGAACCGCGUCCCUCGGCCCGAAGGUGAUCUCCUCGUCCAUGCGCAGGCGUUUUAGGGAGUCGUCCCCCUCGGGGGGAGAUCGCUUGUUUUUCCGAGGUGCAUGGCUAUCCCCCCCGUGGGACCGCCGGCAAUGGUGUUUAUCAUACCAGCCAAGUUCUGGGCGUCCUGGUCGGGGGAAUAACCCUGUGGUUCGCCACGCCGAUCAGGUCGGUCACGGUGCUGGCCCUCGCCUCUCUCUCCACGGUAGGUGCGUCCCGGCUCCUGGCCUGGGCGACCUUGCCGCACAAAUCGCCCCAAGAAGCCGCGCUGAACGAGGUCCUCAAUCUCCCUCUUUAGGGCCCAGCACCCUCAGUGUCAUGCCCGACGUCCCUGUGGAAGGCACAGUACCGGUGCUGAUUCCUCUUAUUUUGAGGUGUGCCCAUUUUAGGCGGCCGGUCUCCCAGGCCCUUUGUCUCCAUGACAGCUAGGAUUUGUGCCCUUGGCCGAGUUAGGGGUGUAUACCCUUUUUCAGGGAGCGGCGGUUGAGCGGGGGCCCUAUCCUUAGAGAGGCGAUCGAAGACGUUCUUCUUGGCUUGGCCGUCCUUGGUUUCAGGGGGGUUUGCCUGUCCUUUCCGGUCCCCGAGCUCCCGAUCUGAUUCUCGUUUCAGGCGGCCGGCCUCCUCUGCGUUGGCAGCAGCGUGAGCCCGGGUCAGGAGCUCUCCCAGAUUCUUGGGGCGCUGUUCGACAAGCUUGUAGUAGAGCUCCUCUACCCUUAGCCCGUUCAUGAAGGCAGCCAUGACCACCUUCUCAUCUUUGUCCCUGAUCUGCAGGCUUUCCGUGUUGAAGCGCGUCAUGAAAUUCUUCAGGGACUCAUCCGGCUUCUGCUUGACGGCCAUCAAGUGGGCCGCGUUUUUCGAGUAAGUCUUCGAGGAGAUAAACUGGGCGGCGAACUGUCUGGCCAACUCGGUGAAACUCCGGAUAGACCUCGGGGUUAGACCCUGGAACCAGAGCCGGGUCUUACCCUUCAGGAACAUGGGGAAGGUCUUGCAACGGAGUGCAUCCGCGGCGGUCUGCAGACGCAUGUGCGUCAGGAAGACCGAGAGGUGGUCCUCCGGGUCAGUCGAACCAUCGUACAACUCGAUGUUUGGGAUUUUAAACCUCCGAGGCAACGGGUAGUCCUCUACCUCUCGGGUGAAGGGCGAGGCCGCGUAGUUGUCCUCGUACUGUUGUGGUCGCAGGAUCUGCUCGAGCUCGUCCCGGACGGGCUGCCAUUGGGGAGGGUACCGCGGCCGACUCCUGAUAGACCGGACGGGGGAGCGCUCCGGCUCAUUCCGCGUAAGCUUCCACGAGGAGGGAUUCCCCAGCCGGCCCCCAGCAGACCGAUCGCGAGAAUAUCUCUCACUGUCCCCGACCACUGAGGCCCGCGGCCUGGGAGGAGUCCACGGUCGUUUCCUCCUGGGGGGCUGGUCUUGCGACUCGUCCUCCGAGGGGAUGGGGAGCGACUCCUUUUCCUUCCCCUUUGCCUUUGAGGUCUGCGCACCGCCAGCCUCACCCCCCUCCUUCGCCUGCCGGAUUAUGUCUUCCAGCAUGGGGAGGUUUUCGGUUACAAACUGGUAAAUCUACUGUUUCCGUUCCCUAGAAAGGGCCGAGCCCCCGGCGCCUCGGGCUGCAUCGGUCUCCAGCCGCCGGGAUCUCUCGCCGGCUCUGGGAUCAGUGUUAUCCAUGGUUCGCUUGGAACGCGUUCUCGCCAUCAACACAAAUACUCGUACCUUCGCUUCCCACAGACGGCGCCAACUGAAGAAGCACGGAACUUUCCCGGACCGAGCUGACCUGAUGAGCUCGGGGUGUUGAUGGAAGAGCUGGUUCUAAACCUGCAAGGUAAACAGGAAAGUGGACUGGCAGGGGCCCCGAGGUUGUCCCCGAGGGCACUCCGAAGGUCAAGUUAGUCCUCCGGCGAGUGAGGGAAGUACCAACAGUAAAGCAGUCGGGAGUAAGUUGGCAAUAGUGAACGUACCUUGUACAGUUGGUAUGUGUUACCAUUUAUACCUGUUGAAGAGUCCGACCUCCGUACGUUCCGGGGCUUGCCGUAGAUAGCCCCCAACCCCGCGCUAAGGGGGAUUCUCCCCGCCCCUGGUAGCUCUCGGGAGCCUCCCGGAGCCCUAGUCGCCCCGCCCCCUGGGCUGGUUCCCCAUGGGCCCGGGGCGCAAGCCCAGCUCGGGUCGCCCCUAGGCUGCCACGUGUGCAGGCCCAGGAUGGGGCCUCUGCACUGCCCUUCAAGCUCAACGCUUUCGCGAUGCCAAUCAAGCUUGUAACCACUUUUAUUUCUGGUUCUCUGGUUUUGAUUCUGAAUUUUUGUGAUCCAUGGUGGCAGCACCACUACCACCGUCACCAGAAUUUCCGCCACCUGAACCACUAUUCCCACUAUCUCCCCUGCCGGAGCCACCAUUAGAUACAGCAAAGAGGCGAAAAUGAUCAGAACCCAGUUGUCUAAAACCAAUUUUAGAGUAACCCAAUUCUUUAUACACAGGAGUUGAGGUUAAAGAAAUUGAGUGAUAGCAGCUUCUGAAGCUGAAGCCCCUACUGCUUAUAGAAGUGGAGAAAGGUGGAAUUUUGGGGGCACACCUAAAAUGUGAAGUGGGUUUGCGAGAAAACUGUACAAAACGAUACAGCAAGGGAGAUUUGCGAACUAGUUUGGCUGGGCUUGAAGCCAUUGUUGCUUGACUUUGGAUUGGAGUUUUGCAGAGGCUAAAGGUUUUAGAAACAGGAUAGCCGGAGGAAUCUCUCUAAAUUGCCUCUCUAAAUUUGGGAAAUCUCAAUUUUUAGAGGUUUUUGUCUUUAAUCAUCUAAAAGUUUCGGUUAUAAUCCCUAUAAUUAGACAGUCGAACUUGUCAUUUCAAUUAUACCCUUGACCCGUCAUAUAAAAUACAUAAAAUAUGACGACGCCGCCCAAUAAGUCUUACAUUAAAUCUGAUAAAAUUGUUUGAGGACUAAAUUGAUAAAAAAAAUUAUAAAGGACGAAAUUAAUUUAAGUAAAAAAAUUUAGGGAUUAAAUUGGCGAUUUGCCUGUAACUUAUAAGCCCCAUCCCAACCCAAAGCUAGGCACCUACUCUGCUUUUCAAGUCCGCGAUCUCCGUUCAGGUAUAUUUACUACUGCUAAUAUACAUAUACUCCAAGAUUACUUAAUGGUUUCUUGUAUUUGCUGUCUCGUCGGUCUCUUCUAAGUCGGCCGUCAACUGGGCCUUCUUGGUAAUCCCGAAAUUUUAUAGAUUCCGGCGAGAAAAAUCUUCAAUUUUUACUGGGAUUUUUGUUGAUUUAUUUCUUGGAGUUUAACAGGAAAAUUAAUUGAUUCAUUGGUUUGAUUGUUUGCAGGUUGACAGAGAAUCCCGGCAAGCAAGUCCCUUUUUCAGUUUUAGCCCUAAUCUUCACCAGGUAAAUUCUACAAUUUUUUUGGGAUUUUUUUUGUUGAAUAGAUUGAUUUUCAGCAUUUUUUUUGGGUUGUCGAAAUUGUGGGUUGAUUUUGUUGGUUUUAGAAGGGUUUAGGGUUGACAAGAUUCCACAUUGGCCCUGAUUGGGUUUCUAUCUUUUCUAAAGAUACCAAAGGGAAAAAAAGGGAAAAUAAGAAGUUAAAGGGGAGAUGUUCUACUAAAAUUAGCUAAUUCAGUAAUUCCAAGGUUACUUUAUUUAAUUUAGAUAUUAAAUUGAGUAUUUUGUUCAAUGUUAACAUAUUAUUAAGGUUUUUGAAGAUUAGUGUUGACAUAAUUAGGUAUUGUUGAAGUUCCUUGUUUGAUGAUGCAGGGGAGAAUGCUUUCCUGUGUAGAAACUUUUCUAUUUCAGAAGCAUGAGAAUAGUUUUGGUGUAGAAAGACUUGGUUUUGGAGCUCAUUAGGUUCAUUGAGCUCAUUUUGUUAGUCGUAUCUACUUCUUUUAGGGUCAAUUGCUAAAAUAUUCUAUGAAUUUUUCACGAAAUAUUGUUGUCGUUCUUGAGAUCUUUAUCGUAUGCCAAUUUAGUAAUUGAACUUUGUUCAUCCUUUGGUGGUUGUCUUGUGGUCAUUCUUAUGGGCAUAUUGAUUCAUUAGCUUGUUUAGUCAUUUGAUUUGGAGCAAACGGGGAACUAAGGUUCAGUCCUCCAAAACUAAAGUCUUCUGGGACAAAAACUAUUCUUUGGAUUAAUUUGACACCCAGUAAAUGAGAUGAUUGUGAUCAAUUAAUUUAGUGACUUCUCCAUUGGAUCUAAAGCUUGCCUGUUAUAACAUGCAGGAAUAACCUUGUAAAAAUUGUCCUUGAGAACUGGGUUCCAAAACUAUUAUUAAUUUGUACUUUCUCACUUAUAUCAAUUCAGCACUUUACAACUAACAAUUUGUGCAUUAAUGGCAAACAAGUAGGAUGGCCGGGUUUUAAAGAAUUCCAAGAUACAGAAACAGACCCAAGAAAUCCAACGUUGGUCAAAGAACUAAUGAGUGAGACAAUAUAAAGCCUAUUUUAGUACUGCCUCCUGCUUUACAAAUUCUACCCAUAUUAAUAUGCACCCACUUACACUCUCUACCUCUCUUUCCCAGUUCCCACCAUCCCAAAUACUUUGAGGUACUUGGAUUUACAAGUUUUUAAAAUCAUUGAAGGUUUUUAAACUCAAUUCUGAUAUUAAAACAAAAUAGUUUGUUGUCUGGUUAACUUAAACAAUCCAGUAGGUCUGGUUCAAAGACUAGGAAAUAAGUACAAGCUUUUCCAUCAUAUGUUCCAGUUUGAGUUAAGAUACAAUUGCACUUGGGCUUUCUAACGGUGUUUUUUUUUAAAAAUUAAAUGAAGUAAAUCCAAGAUGGUUGCCUCUCAAGUCCUUUGUCCUAUCCCAAAUCCAAGUGGAUCGCCUCUCUACGAGUUUUUCUUUAACUAUUUUGUUUGCUGAAAUCAAGAGAUGGGAGGGAAUCCGUUUAACAAUGAAAAACUAGGGAGAAGGUGGAAUCCUUUGGGAAGGUGGAAUCCUUUGGGAAAUUGACAUUUUUUCCCUAAAACAUGAGCACAAUUACAAGAGAAGGGGUAUCACCCCCAAUGAAGAUCAUAAACUAGAGUACACUUUCCAGCCCAUUUCAGACCAUCCACAAACUUUUCAAGUCCCUCAAGACAAACAUUCACACACAUUUCCGCCCCAUAUGUCCACAUAUCAACCCGUAUCACUACAAAAUCCUAAUCACAAGCAAAAUGAAUAAACGAAGUCUAACAUGUUAGAAAGCUAGCUAUGCUGAAAACGAGAACAAAUAUUAUUGUAACAGAGUAACCAACUUCAGAAAAGAAUAAUCAUGAUGAAAUUCACCCGUCCAGACGAAGAACAGAGCCCAUUAAGAUUCCGACUUCAGAGAAAAAAAAAUCACCAAAUCAGCAAGCAAGAAUAACUCGUCGCUAACCAAACACAAAAAAUCCCAAACCCCAAUGAGUAUUCCCAAAAAAAAGAAAAAAGAAUUUAGCAUAAAAAUAGAGUAAAGAGGUAAUUACAAACUGAAAGCCUGUUACUUCUUAGCAAAAUUCACCAACUUUACCUGAAUUUUAUAGAACCCCAACCAAAAAGGGGAAACUUCUAUGUUUAUAGGGUUUAUUCAUUAUAGAACUUCAAAACGAAAAACAAAAAUAAGAAGAAAGAAAUGGAAAUGAUUAAAGCGAAGAAGGACUGACCAGAGAGAUUUGAGCUUGCUAAUUGAAGACAGUAUAUUGAGAAAUUAGGGUUAGGAAUUCGGAAUUUCUUCUCUUUAUUCUCCCUCGCUCUGAAUCUCACUCUCGCCGACUCUACGCUUCGUUUUGAGAUGGUAAAAUCUAAACGAAACCCGAAGGGAAAAUGGGUGGGCCGGGGUUUACCGGCUGCUGUAACAUCUGUUAUUACUUCCUAAUUGCUUUUCUCUUUUUUUUUCUUUUCCGUCUACUUGCUUUUCUAUGUUCGUUAUUACUCAAUCAAAUUAGAUUUUGGAUUCAAGACUUUCUACUUAUAAUUAAAAAAAAAAGAGUUAAGCAAUUAGGAAGUAAUAACAGAUGUUACAGAAGCCGGUAAACCCCGGCCCACCCAUUUUCCCUUUCGUUUAGAUUUUACCAUCUCAAAACGAAGCAUAGAGUCGGCGAUAGUGGGAGUCAGAGCGAGAGAGAAUAAAGAGAAGAAAUUCCGAAUCCCUAACCCUAAUUUCUCAAUAUACUGUUUUCAAUUAGUGAGGUCAAAUCUCUCUGGUCAGUCCUUCUUCGCUUUAAUCAUUUCCAUUUCUUUCUUCUUAUUUUUGUUUUUCGUUUUGAUGUUCUGUGAUGAAUAAACCCUAUAAACGUAGAAGUUUCCCCUUUUUGGUUGGGAUUCUGUAAAAUUCAGGUAAAGUUGGUGAAUUUUGCUAAGAAGUAGCUGGCUUUCAGUUUGUAAUUACCUCUUUACUCUAUUUUUAUGCUGAAUUCUUUUUUCAUUUUUUUGGUCAUACUCGUUGGGGUUUGGGAUUUUUUGUGUUUGGCUAGCGACGAGUUAUUCUUGCUUGCUGAUUUGGUGAUUUUUUUUUUCUUUGAAGUCUGAAUCUUAAUGGGCUCUGUUCUUCGUCUAGACGGGUGAAUUUCAUCGUGAUUGUUCUUUUCUGAAGUUGGUUACUUUGUUACGAUAAUAUUUGUUCUCGUUUUCAGCAUAGCCAGCUUUCUAACAUGUUAGACUUUGUUUAUUCAUUUUGCUUGUGAUUAGGAUUUUGUAGUGAUACGAGUUGAUAUGUGGACAUAUGGGGCGGAAAUGUGUUUGAAUGUUUGUCUUGAGGGACUUGAAAAGUUUGUGGAUCGUCUGAAAUGGGCUGGAAAGUGUACUCUAGUUCAUGAUCUUCAUUGGGGGUGAUACCCCUUCUCUUGUAAUUGUGCUCAUGUUUUAGGGAAAAAAUGUCAAUUUCCCAAAGGAUUCCACCUUCUCCCUAGUUUUUCAUUGUUAAAUGGAUUCCCUCCCUCCUUUUGAUUUCAGCAAACAAAAUAGUUAAAGAAAAACUCGUAGAGAGGCUAUCCACUUGGAUUUGGGAUAGGACAAAGGACUUUGAGAGGCAACCAUCUUGGAUUUACUUCAUUUAAUUUACAAAAAUACACCGUUAGAAAGCCCAAGUGCAAUUGUAUCUUAACUCGAACUGGAACAUAUGAUGGAAAAGCUUGUACUUAUUUCCUAGUCUUUGAACCAGACCUACUGGAUUGUUUGAGUUAACCAGACACCAAACUAUUUUGUUUUAAUAUCAGAAUUGAGUUUAAAAACAUGCAUCCAAGUACGUUCAAUGAUUUUAAAAACUUGUAAAUUAGGGGUGAGCAAAUUCGGUUCUUACCGAAUUCAUAACCGAUUUCAAAUUCAAUUCGGUAAUUUGAAAUCGGGAAUUUGGUAAUUUGGUACAAAUUCGGUACGUACCAAAUUCACCGAAUUCUAAUAUGGUAUAAUGAGAUUAUGAAUUAGGUAAUAACCGAUUUCGCAUUCAAAUUCGGUAAUUGAAAUCGGGUACCGCAUUACCGCAUUCGAAUUACCAAAUUGGCAUAUAAAAUUAUAUAAUAUAUAGAUAAAUGCUAUUUAGUAUUAGUAUAUACUACUAAUACUUUAUUAUAUUAUAUAGGUAAAUGCUAUUAAUAAUAAUUAGUAUAUGGUAUUAUCAAUUUAUCAUCAUAUCAUGUACUUAUAAUAAUAAUAAUAAUAUAUAAUAAUGUACAAUAUAUUAUUUUAGUAUUUGUUAAUUGUUAUAUGACUAUAAUAAUACAAAUAUAUAGUAAUACAUAACAAUAUAAGAUAACUAUAUUACUUAUUAUUUUAUACAUGAGUAACAUGACUAGAAUUAGAUAAUAAUUAACACAUAUGUCAUAUAUGCAUAUUGCAUAAUACUAAAUAUUAAACAAUAAACAUAAUUAGUAAUUAAAUUUAUAUAUUGGUAAUUUGAUACAUCAUUCAUGUUUGAAUUAUUGAAUAUUUGAAUGCGUAAUCUCUAACUUGCAAGUAUUAGUGCACUCUACAUAUUUAACUUAAAAAUUCAUAUUAUCUAUUCACUAAUCUUAAUUCUUAAGACUUUAAGUAUAGAUAAGACAGCUAAGUAGUUAGCAGUGUAAGUGAAUGCAUAUGAAUUGCAAAUCAAUGUACUAGUGUAUUGACUUUCACAAUAACAUGUGUAAGUAAAUAAGUUUUUAUUUUGAUUUGAAAUAAAUUAUAAGUUUGUAACUAAUAUAAGUUAUCACUAGUCAUUGUAAUUUGUAAGUUUGUAACUAAUAGUACUUAUUAUUAAUCAGUGUAAAUUAUAAAUUCAUUGUAACUACUAACUAAUAUUGCUUAUUAUUAGUCAUUGUAAAUUAUAAAUUCAUAAAUUAUCACCAAUCAUUGUAUAGUCUAAGGUUUAUUCUAGUUUAAGUUAAUCACUUUUUAUGUGUUUCUUAAAUCAUAGACUAAGGAUUCUAGGUAUAAGUGAUCAAAUAAAUGCCAAUUAAACCACAAAAUGAUUAGAACAUAAGUAAUGUGUUCAAUUAUGAAUAAAUUUGGGGAUCAAAUUAGUAAUAAUUUAUAAAUCAUUGAGGAGCAUAAUGAAUGUAUUAUAAUUUAGGAGCCCCAAUUUGUAAAUUAAAAAUUACACAAUCACUGCGGAUGAAUUUGGGAAAAGUCAGAUUUCAGCUGAUAAUCAGAACAAUCACUGCCUAGUGCGGUAGUGCCUUCACUUAGGGCUUUCACAGCUUCACUCCCAAGUCCCAAUUCCCAAAUCGAAGCUGCUCUCCGCCGCACUCUACGUCUCUCCUGUCUCCAUCUCAGUCCUCAUUCGACCGAAUUUCUCACUUCACCAGUUCAUCCCUGCCGUGCUGGUUCAUCGCUGCUGAGUGCCAAAGCCGAAGCACCAAUCACUGCUCAUCUCUGGCUCGCUUAGGUAAGUGCUCAUCUCUGGCAGUAAAAUGACCAAGAUCGACUUGGAAAUUUGUUAUCCUGAAUUGAUAAGGGGACGAAAUCUGAGCUUCCAAUUGCAAACUCUCACUAUUGUAGUAGUUUAGAUUAGAUUUGAUAUAACAUAAGCUUUGUAUUUUAUACACAAGAAAUCUCUCUCCAGUUGUGCAGCCUUUAAAAGUUAAGACCUUGGGGAAAAAUUCCACCUUUUACCCGUUAGAAAAAUUAAAAAGAAAAAAACUUGCUAAAAUUCCACCUUUUACCUCCUUGUCCGUGGAGAUUCUCUUAAUUAAUGGGUCUUGCCAACAUUCUGGAUGAAGUUAUGCACUUGUGCUUCUUUGAAACUAGUCUAUUCUUGCCUUGAAUAUUAUAUCGGCCUACAACAUUUUGCAUAAAGCUGAAUCUAUUUUUUAUGGUGAAGUUAAUACUGAGUCUAUUUUUUUUUACGCAUAAAGCUGAGAUUUUGCAAUUGACAUGAUUUUUUGCAUUAUUCUCCAAAUUAUUGCAGUCAUGUCUACUGGAAGUACUAACAAUCCCAAUCAAGUGGUCAGCUGAAAGUCCUACUCCAGCUCCAGCUCCUAGCUCGGCAGAUUCAGGAGGAAAAGAGCCAAAGAAGCGAGGUCCAUACAAGAAAAGAUCUACAGUUUGGUCACACUUCAAAGAAGUUUUUGAGGGUAAGAUUAGAUAUAUGCCUUUUUUGCGAGAAACGCAUAGCUGCUGAUGGUAGGACUAAUGGUACAACUGGUUUGAGAAAUCAUAUAACCAGAUGCGAGAAACACAUUUGUAAUGUGUGUGUAAUAAUUUGGAUGUUGAUUUCCUUUGAAUUGGUGUUGUAGGCUUGUAGCCUGUAAGUUUGCAAUUAGAAUUAGUUUGCAAUUAGCCUCAUAGCCUGUAAAUUGUACGGAAGCAGCGUUGCAAACUUAAGCUGAUAACAGGUUUUUUUUUUUUAUUUUUUAAAUAGAUGAAUUCGGUUAAACCGAAUUCAUUACCGUUUUCAAAUUUGAAAUCGGUUGCGGAAUGAAUUCGGUUAUGCCCAAUUCGGAAUUGAAAACGGUUUAAAAUUUUACAGGUAGAAUAACUGAAUUCACCGAAUUCAAUGCACCGAAUUACCGAAUAUGCACCGAAUGCACACCCCUAGGUGUUGUUUUUGCUGAAAUCUGAAUCUUGAUGCUCUAAUGAAUUUCAUUGUGAUUAGUUUAUUCUGAAGUUGGUUGUUCUGUUAGUGUAAUUUAUUUAUUUUCAUUUUAAGAAAAGGUGGCUUUCUAACAUUUUUGAUUCGUUAGUUUAUUUUGCUUGUACUUGGGAUUAUGUAGUGAUUCCACUUGAUGUAUGUGAACAUAUGUGAUGAAAUAUGUUUGUGAAUGUUUGUCUUGAGUGAAUUGAAAAGUUUGUGGAUGAUCUGAAGUAGGCAUGAACUCAUACCUAGUUUAUGAUCUUCAAGGGGGUAAUACCCGUCUCUUGUAGUUGUGCUCAUUUUUGAGGUCUUCAUCGUGAUAAAGCUUCAUGAAGUCAUGAGUUAUCAGAGCAUGAUAUGCUAGGAAGUAAAAAUAGUGUGCUGCAUGUGUUUUUUGUUGGUUUGUUUUUAACUUUUUUGUGAACUUUUUGCAGACCAUCUGGAAAUGUUGGGCAAUUUGCCGAUAUUGCCUUUACCUGCACCCCCUUCUGAUGGUAAUCUUGGGCCUUUACCACUAGCUCAGAUAACUGAAGAAGACGAGAAAUAGAAUGGAAGUCAAGAGGAUCUGAGCAAAGCUGACAAAUCCAACUCAGCUCCUAUUUCGGUUGCGACUCAUACGAGAACUAUUGGUAUUAUUUAUCCUCCUCCAGAUAUCAGAAACAUUGUUGACAAGACAUCUCAGUUUGUGGCCAAGAAUGGUCCUGAGUUUGAAAAGAGGAUUAUCGCUAGCAAUGCUGGGAAUCCAAAAUUUAACUUUUUGAAUGCCUCUGAUCCAUACCAUGCAUACUAUCAGCAUCGUUUAUCUGAAGCUCGUGCACAAAAUCAGGUUUCUGCUCUGCAGCCAUUGCAACUGGCAGAUUCAGCUGCUCCUGAGUCUGCAGCUGCUGCCCCGGCUGCUGAUGGCAAGGAUGCGAUUGCAAAGCCUGAUCCGUCGGUGCAGUUUAGGCCUGUUCGUAAAAUUCUUGAACCCCCUGAAGCAGAGCAGUACACUGUUCGUCUCCCUGAAGGGAUUACAGGGGAGGAGUUGGACAUAAUUAAGCUUACUGCCCAGUUUGUCGCAAGGAAUGGGAAAUCAUUUUUGACUGGAUUGACCAGUAGGGAGAUUAACAAUCCUCAAUUUCUUUUUCUAAAACCAACCCAUAGCAUGUUUAUGUUUUUUACAUCUCUUGCGGAUGCUUAUUCGAAAGUAUUGAUGCCUCCAAAAGCAUUAACAGAUAAGUUGAGAAAGAGUGUAACUGACAUGACUACGGUGCUUGAAAGAUGCCUUCAUCGCUUGGAGUGGGAACGGUCGCAGGAGCAGGCUAGGCAGAAAGCUGAAGAUGAGAUAGAACAGGAGCGAUUACAUAUGGCCAUGAUUGAUUGGCAUGACUUUGUUGUAGUAGAGACCAUAGACUUUGCAGAUGAUGAGGAUGAAGAUUUGCCCCCUCCUAUGACCCUGGAGGAGGUUAUACGAAGAAGCAAGAUGACAGGUAUGGAAGAAGAGGAGAUCAUUGAGCCUGGGAAGGAAGUAGAAAUGGAAAUGGAUGAAGAGGAGGUGCAGCUUGUUGAGGAGGGCAUGAGGGCAGCUAGUCUUGAAGAGAACGGGGACCUGAAGAAUAAUGAAGCUAAGGUUACAAUAGAUGAAGCAGAACCACCUAUGAGGAUAGUAAAGAAUUGGAAGAGACCUGAGGAGAGGUUACCUGCUGAAAGAGAUCCAACUAAAUUUGUUGUGUC